AGAGUUCGAUUCUGGCUCAGGACGAACGCUGGCGGCGUGCCUAACACAUGCAAGUCGAACGGAGAUUAGUGAGCUUGCUUGCUAAUCUUAGUGGCGGACGGGUGAGUAACGCGUGAGCAACCUGCCUUUCAGAGGGGGACAACAGUUGGAAACGACUGCUAAUACCGCAUGAAAUUAUUGGACCGCAUGGUUUGAUAAUCAAAGGAGCAAUCCGCUGAAAGAUGGGCUCGCGUCCGAUUAGAUAGUUGGUGAGGUAACGGCUCACCAAGUCGACGAUCGGUAGCCGGACUGAGAGGUUGAACGGCCACAUUGGGACUGAGACACGGCCCAG
rnacentral:rRNA from 1 species